rfam:Cavia porcellus supercont2_103 genomic scaffold, whole genome shotgun sequence.
GGGGAUUUAGCUCAGCGGCAUAAGCGCCUGCCUUGCAAGCAGGCAGUCGUGAGUUCAAUGCCCG